ensembl:ncRNA F40B5.4 ncRNA
GUUUAUGGUUUUGAUAGUACCCAUUUAAACAAAAUCAGUACAUCACAAGUUUCCUUGGAGUGUUUUUUUUUGCUGGAAGAGAAAUGAGCAGGAAACAAUUUCCAAAUAUUUUUCUAUUCUGGUGGGUGUAGAUCUUUAGAUCUUAAAACU